AAAAAGGCAAACCCUGGGUUUUCGUAUCCAACUUUAACUGUCCGUCUUAUAUAAAUUUUUUUUAUAAUUCGUAUUUUCAUUAUUGUUAGAUGAUAAAACAUGAUUAAUAUUUUAUGCGUGACUUGUCUUUUUAAUUUUUUUUCAUAAUUUUUUAAAUAAGACGGACGGUCAAACGUUAGGCACGGAAAUCAUGGUUUGUCUUUUU
rnacentral:pre_miRNA from 1 species